rnacentral:rRNA from 1 species
UACGUAGGGGGCAAGCGUUGUCCGGAUUUAUUGGGCGUAAAGAGCGUGUAGGCGGCUUGACACGUCUGCUGUGAAAACUCGAGGCUCAACCUCGAGAUGUCGGCGGAAACCGUCUGGCUAGAGUCCGGAAGAGGAGAGUGGAAUUCCUGGUGUAGCGGUGAAAUGCGCAGAUAUCAGGAGGAAUACCGGUGGCGAAGGCGGCAUCCUGGACCGACAUUGACGCUGAACGGCGAAAGCUAGGGGAGCAAACGGG